GUCUCUAGCAAGAAUAUUGAAUUUUUGAAUACAUUUUUGAAUUCAUUAUAGGGUUUCUCUUACCUCAUUGAAAAAAGAAAGUGAAGACAAGCAGAUAACAAUACUUCAUCUCCUGAACACACUGGCUCCCUGUAAAGUCACCAGCAAACCUUUCCUCAGGCAGCUGAUGUGUUGCUGAUGUUGCACAGGGGCCUCAUACUGGAGUAGGUACAGAAAUC
rnacentral:lncRNA from 1 species